CAAAGUAAAGCUUAUUAGUAAGCGGUCCAUUUACACUGGGAUGAUUUACUGUGCAAUUCAGUUUAUUUUGA
rnacentral:tRNA from 1 species